rnacentral:rRNA from 2 species
GAAGGAUCGAUGGGAGCUUGCUCCCUGAGAUAGCGGCGGACGGGUGAGUAACACGUGGGUAACCUGCCUGUAAGAACUGGGAUAACUCCGGGAAACCGGGGCUAAUACCGGAUAACACCUACCCCCGCAUGGUGGGAAGGUUGAAAGGUGGCUUCGGCUAUCACUUACAGAUGGACCCGCGGCGCAUUAGCUAGUUGGUGAGGUAAUGGCUCACCAAGGCGACGAUGCGUAGCCGACCUGAGAGGGUGAUCGGCCACACUGGGACUGAGACACGGCCCAGACUCCUACGGGAGGCAGCAGUAGGGAAUCUUCCGCAAUGGACGAAAGUCUGACGGAGCAACGCCGCGUGAGUGAACGAAGGUUUUCGGAUCGUAAAACUCUGUUGUUAGGGAAGAACAAGUGCCGUUCGAAUAGGGCGGCGCCUUGACGGUACCUAACCAGAAAGCCACGGCUAACUACGUGCCAGGCAGCCGCGGUAAUACGUAGGUGGCAAGCGUUGCUCCGGAAUUAUUGGGCGUAAAGCGCGCGCAGGUGGUUUCUUAAGUCUGAUGUGAAAGCCCACGGGCUCAAACCGUGGAGGGUCAUUGGAAACUGGGGAACUUGAGUGC